UGGAGGGGAGGGCUUGUCGUGCGAUUGCAUAAUAACCAGCUGCAUUUCUCAGCCUUCCUCUCGCCGACCCGUCCUCUACUCACAGUAGGAGAAGAAGAACAAUCUAGAUAAAUCAGAACAAAGUACAGAUGAAGAGGAAAUCACUGUUACUGACCAAAGGAAAGAACUUGCGAUUACCAUUUUAAUGACAUAAAUGUACAGCACCUUGUUCUUGGUGGCGAAAGCAGUUCAUCUUCUAAGAAACGUGCUUCCCAAUUUCAUGUGGCAUACAUUAUCAGACUCCUAAUUUAUUAAUAGAGAAUCAGAUAUACAAUAAUUAUGAGAAUAAGUAUUGCUUCACAUCCAAGAGGACUUCUGUUUGACAGCUGCUCGUGGUGUACUGAAAAUGGUUGUAAAUCACUGCAGGAAGAAAGAGACAAAUGCAAGCACUGACAUCUGCCAGUCAGAAGCUGAAGGAACCAGCAACACAGAUGGUGGAACUGUUCACAUUGACAUUGUUGUAACAUCCCUUAUAGCCUGCUCGGCACACUUCGAAAAUAUGGAAAUAGCUUUAAAUUGGAAAAAACUACUAUUGAGUCAUCCACAUUUGGAGACAGGGCCGUUUCAGGGCUUCUUGCCCCCCCCCCAGGAGGCCUUUCUGAUGACGCCCCCCCCCUGCACCCGGAGCAUACCAUUUCCAGUGUUCGAGCGGGUGCAUCUCUAGUGAGGAAAGCGCAAUUACUAUUAUAUACGUAGCAUUUGCUUUUUAACAAUUUUGCAAAGACAGAGAAGUUUGCUGACCACUGCAAGCAUAUAUUAGAUAUUCUUGAGACAGUGACCCCACAGAUAGAUAUUGACGGAGAAAGAAACAUAUGCAUCAUAAAACCAGGUGCUAAAUCCAGAAGAGCUGAUCCAUCUAUACAUGUAUGUAGUAGAAGCAUACAGCAACAAUAUGAAAUCUCCUAGAGCGCCACCCUGAUUUACCUAUGGACAAUCUGUGGACUAGCAAGCAGCUCCAAGAACACCUUGAAGGGAUAGGAGUUUGUCAUGCCUGGGUAGAGGUGAUGGUACCAGGAAUGAAGGAAGCCAUUAUAUAUACUAUGAUGAGCUCCACAGAAAUUGUCAGGAACAGGAAAAAACAUUUUGAUCUUUAUGGAGCAAAUUUUAUCUUUGAUGAAAAUUUUCACACUUGGCUGAUUGAGAUUAAUCUCAAACCUGAAUUAAAGCCGCCCGCAUCGGUAAUAACUGAACUAUGCAACCAAGUGCAAGAAGACACCCUACGUGUUGUCAUUCAUCGGAGAGAUGACCCUAGCUGUGAUACUGGAGCAUUUGAGCUCAUAUACAGUAUGAAAAGGUGAGUAGAAUAUGGCCAUUUUUGCCACCUACUGCCCUUAACCCAUUAGUGCUGUACAUAGUAGGAGCAACAACGAAUGUUAAUGUACCCAAAUCAAAAUGAGAAACUAUAAUUCCCUGUUAAGUUUAGAUUAAAAUAAAACCCUGCCCAAAAAAUUUAAAUUAAGCAACUUACUAAUAAUCACUAAUUAAAAAUAUUAAAGUUGUAUAUAAAUGUGAUGGUUUCAAAAAGUUUCCAAAAGCAAUACUUGUCUGUCCCUUUCACUGCUCAACAGUGCUCCUCAAGUGUAUGUUUCUAGGUACAAUUUUUAUGUUAAUAUAUUAAUAAAUAGCUUUACUAUCAUUUCCUCCCAUAUUAUGUCUAGAUCGUAGUUAAAAAGCCAAAUUAAAAGUGUUAAUAGAGGAACAAUCACGUAGGAGACUCUGCUCAUGUAAUCUCAUCAAUACCACUAUGCAUAGAUGCAAUAAUUCAGUUUGUAGAAGCAGCAAAUCUGCACCUUUCUGACUAUGGAUUCUACCUUUACUGUAUAUUAUGUAUAUAUGUAUAUAAAA